AGCUUUGCGCAGUGGCAGUAUCAUAGCCAAUGAGGUUUAUCUGAGGCACGAUUAUUGCUAAUUGAAAAAGAUUGCAG
rnacentral:snRNA from 1 species